rnacentral:lncRNA from 1 species
GUUGUCCUGUUUUCAAUCACUUGUAUCCCUUUUCUGUCCAUAAAACAUGGCUCUGAGAUUUCAAAAUGAAAAGUAAAUACUGUCAAAUCUAAUUUAAGAUAAAUGGGGAAUGUGUCCAUGGGAUGAUGCUCAAACUUGCAUAUAACUUUCUAAAGGGACAUAACACAAAAACUGUAAAAGUGACGCUACCCAAAUUUGUACUUCUCUGAGUUUUGAGGUUAUAAUCAUAUACACAAUCUUCAGUUAGAGAAAGGAAACUAAAUGUAAUGGGGCAUAAAUCUAGAAUGGUAAAAGUGACACCACCAAAAUUU